UACGUAGGGUGCGAGCGUUAAUCGGAAUUACUGGGCGUAAAGCGUGCGCAGGCGGCGUCGCAAGUCAGGCGUGAAAUCCCCCGGGCUUAACCUGGGAACUGCACUUGAAACUACGAUGCUGGAGUAUGGCAGAGGGGAGGUGGAAUUCCACGUGUAGCGGUGAAAUGCGUAGAGAUGUGGAGGAACACCGAUGGGCGAAGGGCAGCCCUCCUGGGCCAAUACUGACCGCUCAGUGCACGAAAGCGUGGGGA
rnacentral:rRNA from 1 species